AUCAAAAACAUAAAUGACAAUGCAAAAACCUAAAUAUAAAAUCUAGGCAGCAGUGGACCCAAAAUGUCAGAGGGGAUCAGGAGAAGGGAGGGGAUGAACAAGGUAACUGGAGAGGCAGGGGAGACGGCUAGGCUGAGUGGGAAUGCUGUGGCCCUCCAGCUGGUGGUGAGGUCAUUUUAUCAUGAAACAUUGUAUCUGAGGUGGGUGUUAGCAAAUAGCCCUUUUCAUGACUCAAAUAUUCCAGUUUCAAAACCUACACCGCACCCAGAUCAUAGGUGUCACACAGGCCUGUGUGUGGCAUGCCUAGCAUAUAGUAGGCGCCCAAAACAUGGUUGUGAGAAGCAGUUAUGGGAGCAUUUAGUUUAGUUUAGUUUUGUUGAGACAGAGUCUCUCUGUGUAGCUCUGCCUGUCCUGGAACUUUCUACAUAGACCAGGCUGUCCUCAAACUCACAGAGAUCGGCCUGGCUCUGUCCCUCAAAUGCUGGGAUUAAAGACAUACACCCCUACACUCCUGUUUUGGGGGGCACUGGUUUUAAGUCUAUUCGUGAGGAAUAAUACAUUGUGUUUAGUAUGUAAGGUGCUAGCUAUUUGGGUUUGAUUACAGAAAUUAACAUUUUCUAAUGAAAAAUAAAUAAAUGUUUGUGGCUUC
rnacentral:lncRNA from 1 species